rnacentral:rRNA from 1 species
UACGUAGGGGGCAAGCGUUAUCCGGAAUUACUGGGUGUAAAGGGAGCGUAGACGGUAAAGCAAGUCUGGAGUGAAAGGCUGGGGCCCAACCCCGGGACUGCUCUGGAAACUGUUAAACUGGAGUGCAGGAGAGGCAGGCGGAAUUCCUAGUGUAGCGGUGAAAUGCGUAGAUAUUAGGAGGAACACCAGUGGCGAAGGCGGCCUGCUGGACUGUAACUGACGUUGAGGCUCGAAAGCGUGGGGAGCAA